AACGAACGCUGGCGGCAGGCCUAAAACAUGCAAGUCGAACGCCCCGCAAGGGGAGUGGCGCACGGGUGAGUAACGCGUGGGAACGUGCCCUUCACUACGGGACAACGUCGGGAAACUGACGCUAAUACCGUAUAAUGACUCCGGUCCAAAGAUUUAUCGGUGAAGGAGCGGCCCGCGUCUGAUUAGUUUGUUGGUGGGGUAAUGGCUUACCAAGACUACGAUCAGUAGCAGGUCUGAGAGGAUGAUCUGCCACACUGGGACUGAGACACGGCCCAGACUCCUACGGGAGGCAGCAGUUAGGAAUAUUGGACAAUGGGCGAAAGCCUGAUCCAGCCAUGCCGCGUGUGUGAUGAAGGCCUUAGGGUUGUAAAGCACUUUCGUUGGGGAUGAUAAUGACCGUACCCAAAGAAGAAGCACCGGCUAACUUCGUGCCAGCCGCCGCCGUAA
rnacentral:rRNA from 1 species